CCCUUAGAUGUUCUGGGCCGCACGCGCGCUACACUGACGGAGGCAGCGAGCAUGUCCUUCGCCGAGAGGUGUGGGGAAUCUUGUGAGUCUCCGUCGUGCUGGGGAUAGAUGGUUGCGAUUGUCGAUCUUGAACGAGGAAUUCCUAGUAAGCGCGAGUCAUCAGCUCGCGCUGAUUACGUCCCUGCCCUUUGUACACACCGCCCGUCGCUACUACCGAUUGGAUGGCUUAGCGAGAAUUUUGGAUCGGAGCCCGGGUGGUCGGCAACGGUCGCCCGGGAGAUCUGAGAAAUCAUUCCAGCUUGGUCAUCUAGAGGAAGUAAAAGUCGUAACA
rnacentral:rRNA from 1 species